rnacentral:rRNA from 1 species
CCUACGGGGUGCACCAGUAGGGAAUCUUCGGCAAUGGACGAAAGUCUGACCGAGCAACGCCGCGUGAGUGAAGAAGGUUUUCGGAUCGUAAAACUCUGUUGGUAGAGAAGAACGUUGGUGAGAGUGGAAAUCUCAUCAAGUGACGGUAACUACCCAGAAAGGGACGGCUAACUACGUGCCAGCAGCCGCGGUAAUACGUAGGUCCCGAGCGUUGUCCGGAUUUAUUGGGCGUAAAGUGAGCGCAGGUGGUUUAUUCAGUCUGGUGUAAAAGGCAGUGGCUCAACCAUUGUAUGCAUUGGAAACUGGUAGACUUGAGUGCAGGAGAGGAGAGUGGAAUUCCAUGUGUAGCGGUGAAAUGCGUAGAUAUAUGGAGGAACACCGGUGGCGAAAGCGGCUCUCUGGCCUGUAACUGACACUGAGGCUCGAAAGCGUGGGGAGCAAACAGGAUUAGAUACCCGUGUAGUC